GUGCCAGCCGCCGCGGUAAUACGGAGGGUGCAAGCGUUAAUCGGAAUUACUGGGCGUAAAGCGCACGCAGGCGGUUUGUUAAGUCAGAUGUGAAAUCCCCGAGCUUAACUUGGGAACUGCAUUUGAAACUGGCAAGCUAGAGUCUUGUAGAGGGGGGUAGAAUUCCAGGUGUAGCGGUGAAAUGCGUAGAGAUCUGGAGGAAUACCGGUGGCGAAGGCGGCCCCCUGGACAAAGACUGACGCUCAGGUGCGAAAGCGUGGGGAGCAAACAGGAUUAGAUACCCUGGUAGUCCACGCUGUAAACGAUGUCGACUUGGAGGUUGUGCCCUUGAGGCGUGGCUUCCGGAGCUAACGCGUUAAGUCGACCGCCUGGGGAGUACGGCCGCAAGGUUAAAACUCAAAUGAAUUGACGGGGGCCCGCACAAGCGGUGGAGCGUGUGGUUUAAUUCGAUGCAACGCGAAGAACCUUACCUACUCUUGACAUCCAGAGAAUUCGCUAGAGAUAGCUUAGUGCCUUCGGGAACUCUGAGACAGGUGCUGCAUGGCUGUCGUCAGCUCGUGUUGUGAAAUGUUGGGUUAAGUCCCGCAACGAGCGCAACCCUUAUCCUUUGUUGCCAGCACGUAAUGGUGGGAACUCAAAGGAGACUGCCGGUGAUAAACCGGAGGAAGGUGGGGAUGACGUCAAGACAUCAUGGCCCUUACGAGUAGGGCUACACACGUGCUACAAUGGCAUAUACAAAGAGAAGCAAACUCGCGAGAGCAAGCGGACCUCAUAAAGUAUGUCGUAGUCCGGAUUGGAGUCUGCAACUCGACUCCAUGAAGUCGGAAUCGCUAGUAAUCGUAGAUCAGAAUGCUACGGUGAAUACGUUCCCGGGCCUUGUACACACCGCCCGU
rnacentral:rRNA from 1 species